CUACCCCUUAUCCCCAUCAGAGUCGAGAACUCAAAGCUCAAAGUCCGAACUGCUAUACAAGGGCUACCUGUACAGUUCUCAAAGGAGAGUGUAGAGUAUGAACAUAUCCUUAGAAACCUAAGUAAUUCGAGAGAUAAAGGAAGAACCUAGUCAGCCAGUGCGGAGCCCGGUUUCUCUGCCGCCAUUGGGCGCUUUCUCAGAACAAUGAAUAUCCAGUGCAGUGCAGAUACAACAUAACAAGUUUUAAAUCGUAUUUAGAAGCUUCCCAAAAGAUACUGUCCAAACAAUCAGAUAUGUGGACAUUGGUUCAGUAACUGAAACAAAAACACAAAACAAAGGGCUCAGACGGGAAUCGAACCCGUGGCCUCUCGCACCCAAAGGAGAAUCAUACCACUAGACCACUGAGCCUUGGAUAGAUACUGACCAAAAAAUCAGAUAUUUGUACAUUGGUUCAGUAACUGAAACAAAAACACAAAACAAAGGGCUCAGACAGGAAUCUGCUCCAUGGCCUCUCGCACCCAAAGAGAGAAUCAUACAACUAGACCGCUGAGCCUUGGAUAGAUACUGUCCAAAAAAUCAGAUAUGUGGAUAUUGGUUCAGUAACUGAAACAAAAACACAAAAACAAGGGCUCAGACGGGAAUCGAACCCGUGGCCUCUCGCACCCGAAGCGAGAAUCAUACCACUAGACCACUGAGCCUUGGAUAGGCACUGUCCAAAAAACAUUGCACAUUAGUUCAGUAACUGAAACAAAACUAAUAGGGAACGUGAGCUGGGUUUAGACCGUCGUGAGACAGGUUAGUUUUACCCUACUGAUGAAGUGUUGUUGCAAUAGUAAUUCUGCUCAGUACGAGAGGAACCGCAGAUUCAGACAAUUGGCAUUUGCACUUGGCUGAAAAGCCAAUGGUGCGAAGCUACCAUCUGUUGGAUUAUGACUGAACGCCUCUAAGUCAGAAUCCGUGCUAGAACGCAACGAGACUCGCUCAGCCAAUGCACUUCAGGCAUCUCCUCAUUAGGUGUUGUUAGAGUUAUGCCCUGUGCAAGAGAAUCAUUUCCUUUCAUUGCCUUUUAAUAAACUUGGAUUGCAAAUUAAUAAAUAG
rnacentral:ncRNA from 1 species